AGAACGAACGCUGGCGGCGUGGAUAAGACAUGCAAGUCGAGCGGAACUAGUUUUGUAGCAAUACAGAACUAGUUUAGCGGCGAACGGGUGCGUAACACGUGAGAACCUGCCCAAAAGAGGGGGAUAGCCCGCCGAAAGGCGGAUUAAUACCGCAUAUUAACAAAGCAGCAAUGCACUUUUGGAUGGGCUCGCGGCCUAUCAGCUAGAUGGUGAGGUAACGGCUCACCAUGGCGAUGACGGGUAGCUGGUCUGAGAGGACGACCAGCCACACUGGGACUGAGACACGGCCCAGACACCUACGGGUGGCAGCAGUCGAGAAUUUUUUCACAAU
rnacentral:rRNA from 1 species